CCAUCAGGGUCACGCUCCGAGGCAAGGGGAGGUGAAACGAGAGGGAAGAUGGCUUCUCUCUGAAGGGUAGACGGGCCUGCUGGGAUGCUCAGGGAGGACUUGGGACAGGCGCUGGGCGGGGUUUCGCCGUUCCGCGGAACGCCGGGAAGGGGUCACUUCCAGAUGAAGGUUCCGGUUCCGGUGCGGGCGGAGGUUGCGUUUCCGCGGCAGCGCGGUUGGCUGGCAGCUGGCUCUUGCGUUCCGGGUGGUGGCGGGGCUGGAGCAGGCUUGGAUCCGCCGUUCCCGGCUUAGUUUGUAAAGAGCUCUCGUCUGUGUGAUCGGGGCUUCGCUGACUUUCCAGCCGACCUAAGCCCCUGGGCUUGGGCCCAGGAAAGGUUGAAUGGGGAACUAAGAAAGGAAUUGGUUCGUUCGACAGACGUUUUCUGAGCAGCUGCUGCGUGCAAGGCACGGUGCCGGCGCGGGACCUGUGCCCAGAGCUUGAGAAGUGAGAAGCAGAGUCAUUGAUUCCAGGUAAAUCAGAGGAGCAAACAUCAUACAGAAAUAUAUAGGACAGUAAUACACAGGAAGCGAUGUGAUGUCGAAGCUGAACUGCUGUUUCGAAAGUCCAGCAUCUGGUGCAUCUACCAGUAGGGGCUAUAUUAUUUGCAAAGGCACCUAACUUUUACUCAUACUUACGUUCUGAUCCCACAUGCUGCGGAGCAACUAAGCCCGUGCACCACAACUACUGAGCCUGCGCUCUAGAGCCUGAGAGCCACAACUACUGAAGCCUGUGUGCCACAACUACUGAAGCCCGCACGCCUAGAGCCCGUGCUCUGCAACAAGAGAAGCCACCGCGAUGAGAAGCCCGUGCACAGCAACAAAGACCCAACUCAGCCAAAAAUAAAAAUAAAUAAAUAAAUUUAUUUUAAAAAAAGAAGAAUGAACCGGAAGUAAAGAAAAGAGAUUGUUAGUAACAUCUUUGUGACAGACUUGAGCACUUUGGGUUCCUCUCUUUACCUUCACAAGCACUUCUUAAAUCUUACUGUGGAAUCGUAGCAAAGCCAGCAAGUCCCACAGAAAAUUAAAUAUUCCUGAAUUAUCUCCAGGGUAUGUAUGUAUUGGCUACAGAUGUGAUUUUUAUGCUUUGUGAAACUAAAAUGACAACAAUUUCAAUGCAAAACUCCAAUGAAACAAAUAACCCUUAGCUUUUCACUUCUGAAAGUUUCAUUCUCUUUUGUCCCCAUGCUGCUUUUUCUCAGCGAGGCCUGAGUCCCUGGCUAAAUAUAGGCUUUAAGGUCAGACGUCUGCUGGACUUUGUUCUAUUGAGAACUUUAUUUUGAGGGAAAGAGCCCAAGUCAUAUCUCCUGUCAGGUAAUAUUAAGGAUUAAGUGGUAGUCAUAAAACAUGUUAAGACUUAAGUAAAGGUGAUAAAAGAAUGGUUGACUUUUCCUCAACUGUCUGUUUAGUGAAAGAUUUUAAUGUUUUGUGUUAUGUUUCUUUAUUUUUUUUGCAAGCACAUAGAUUCCAUAAUUCAAACUGUUAUUACAUUUCCAGCGACUUCUGAGAAGGUGCCCAGACCACAGAAUUUAGAAGGCAGGGAGCCAGUACUGUUGUGUGUCACACUUGUUAGGAGGAUUUAUCUGUUGGCAGGAGUCUGCGUCUUCCUCUGAUAAUCACUGAGCUUGCAGCCAGACGAACACUGAGAAAAUUUUGUUUUCCUUUGAGUGAUGGCUAAGUUGUAUUGCCAAGGCCAUAAAUAUUCUUUAUGUUGAGUCAGAAUUUCACUUCGUACUUCAGCCUUUGAGCCUUAAUAAUUUCAGGCUUCAAAAUUAAAUCUUGCGCUCAUGGGAAUCCACUGCUCUAGCCUACUCCAACAAAGUAGCUAGCGAAGGACCCCAGUUGCACGGAUUGGGGGAGUGGGUUGGAAACGGGCUGACAUUAACUGUUCAUUUUCCUUUGCAGGAAAAAAACUGGAGGAUUUUUAAAAAUAUUUUUUCCUACUCUUAUGGCCAGAAAAAUCCCACUUGCUAAUUCCAAACUUUACACUUUUUGAAAGUGUACUCUAUUGAGAUAGAAUUAAUUGAUACCAAAUUUCUGUGAGCCAGAGUUUUGGAGUUUUAAUAAAAGACUCUAUUAUAAACCAGUUACACUGUAAAAAUAAUAAUAAUAAAUAAAUAAUAAAAGAAGGGAGGAGCAUUUUGCAUAGGCUGCACUUGCAAAAUUGAGUCACCAAGAGAAUUUUGUAUCAGAAGCCUUGAGAAGGUGACAUAUUUGCAGGCUUUCUCCCCUCUCCAGACAUCCAGUGAUCUGCACUUAGUGUAACUCUCAGCACAUAUGUCAGUCCACUUGGUAAGCUAUUCCCAUUGGUUCAUCUCUCCAUACGGCUCAGCUGCAGCUCUGUGAUGGUUCAUGCAUCCUGCCGGCUGGUGGGGAGCAGGGCCAAUAAUACCCUCCUACUUGAAGGGAGUUUUGAAUCCCUUCUUGAAAAAUUACCCAUCAUCUGUCAGAAUCAUUCUGUCUUUUGAGAAACUUGGAGCAUUUCAUAAUGAGUCUCUGCCUUACCCCACAAGACAAGUGGGGGCACUAGUCUGUCUUACUUAGGAAGCAGGGGCAGCAAGAGCCAGUACGUGCUGUCGGGGUCAGUGCACAGUGUCUGGGAAUUAAUCAGCUACCGGUUUCUAGGAAGAGGCUCUCAGUUCCCAUCCAAGUCCUGUUCUUAUUUUAGGGAAUGGUUUACUCUCUCAGUUUUCUAAUAUUACAGCCACAACAGAUUAGAAGCAGUACAUUUAAAAGGCUAACACUAAAAGCAGGAAGAAGCAAUGACUAACAGGUUAACGGGAGAUUUUUUAAAUUGAGAAGCAGAUAUUUUGGGAUUUUCCUCUUUUUCUUUUUUUUUUUUUGAAAAGUCACAUUCUGGAAGCGUUUGGUGUAAGCAGGGGCAAACAUCCCUCACGUGUCACAGUUCCUUGAGCAUUAGAGCCCUGUGUAGAAAUUCUAAAUCAUCCAGAACAGGAAACGGUAUUUCAUGUGCUUUGGUUAAGAAGUCAAGGAAACAUAUAUAUUAGAUUGCCAACAAAAAUUAUACAGACUCAUGGCCUCAGGGGGUUGUGUUAAAUAAAUUUCAGAGGAAUACUUUCUUCCCUCAUUAUGCCAGAUAAACAGAGUUUUAGUCUACUUUUUUUAAAAAAAAUAUUUUUAUGUCUUUAUUUAUUUGGCUGUGCCGGGUCUUAGUUGCGGAACUCGGGAUCUUCGCUGAGGCAUGCAGGAUCUUUCGUUGCGGCACGUGGGAUCUAGUUCCCUGACCAGGGAUCGAACCCGGGCCCCCUGCAUUGGGCGCGCGGAGUCUUAGCCACUGGACCGCCAGGGAAGUCCCUAUCGUCCUUCCGUUACGUGUCUCAUUAAUCCAUGAUGAGCACUCAGAAAUACUUAAUACGUUUAAUUAGGUGGUGAGGUAUUGAAUAAUAUUGGCAUAAAGUUGGGUUUUUCUAAACUGUGUGAAUCAGUUUGGGCUUGAGAGCUCAGCUGACAUCAGGCCUGGAGACAGCUGCCCAUAAAGCAGUUCUGCAAACCCUGGAUACGCAGUUAGUCAUCAAAGAAUAUAACCACUGUGCGUCCUACCACUCAGCCCCAUUUUACUGCUUUUGGGGACGAAAACCCUUCAGGGCUUUUGUAGGUAUCACAUUUUAAGUUUAUGCUCUACCGCCCACUAGACGAUCAGCUUCUAGUCCUGUAGAACUCAGUUUUUCACCCCUGGUCCUUAGUACUACGCCUGGCACUUAGUAUGUGCUCAAUGCAUAAUUCCUGAAUGGAGAACACGUGACAUGGUAAGCAAUACAGGACAGUAUCUAAGAAACCCCAAACUGCGUGAAAUUCACAAUACUGACCGCAGAUGCCAUAGGAGGGAGAGAAACAUUUGGCCAUAGAGCUUGUGCUAAGCAGGACAUGGAGUGGAGUAAGACACUCCCACUCCCCGGGAUCUCACCAUCUUAUGAUGAGGACAGAUGCAAGAAUGUCACUAAGUACUGGAGAGGGCUGAGGGUGUGGGCCCCAACACAGCGAGUCAGGGCCUCAGGGAUCAGAGACAGUCGGUAGAGGGGCUGGUGUUUGAAUUGAGUGUUGACGAAGAGGUAAAGGACUGCUAUUUAAAAGGGAAGGACAAAAAAAAUUAAAGAAAGGGAAGGACAUUCCAGGGAGAGGAAACAGCCGGGGCAGGGGCACAAAGGCCCAGGCAUGCUCUGGGGGCACACCAGGCCUUAGGAUUUUGUCCUUGGGUUGAGAGAAGAUCACAGAGAGUGUAAGCAGCAGAGUGCUUGAGAGAUGAGCCUGGGAGGAAUGCUGAUGGAUUGCAGCGGCCCAGACUGACCGAGGGAGGCCAGUCCGGACACGCCUGUAAGACGGAACAAUUCCCAGGCGCUGGCUUGUUUGCUAUGGGUGAAGGGCACCAGUGCAAGCCACGUUCCGUACUUUGAUGGUAGGAUUGACAGAGUCUGGUGACUGGCUGGGUGUGGGGACGAGGCUGGGCAGAAGAGGGCAGGACUCAGGCUUACUCCCAGGUUCUGGCUUAGCCGCUAGAGCUCCUCCUUGCUGAGGAAUAUGGGAAAUACAGGGGGAGGAGGAGGGAGGGUUGAAGGGGUGAGUCAUGUGUUACUUCUGAACAUUCUGAGUUUCCAGGAAUCUGAGGGGCAUCUAUCUAAAUCAUUAGGUUAUAUCUGAAAUAUUGGGGGAGAUGAUUCAGACGAUUGCCCUGGCAGGUCUGGACCUGAUGGUAAAAGAGAUUCGGGCAGGGAGAGCAAGAAAAAGGAAAAACCAGGGAUGAAAGCUGGGGGAUGUGUGCAGUUAGGGAAGGACAGGCCUGAAGACUAGAAAGGAGGCAGGAGGAGAAAUGAGCAAGUGCUUCCAGGAGAGAAGCCCCAUCAGGGCUGUCGGAAGCUGCGAGAGAGGCCAGGUAAGGAGCCAGGUGUCCCCUGGGUUUGGCAGUGGAGGUAAGCGAAGCAUGGCCGUGGGCUGGGCAGUGAGGGCGUUCCCCGACCUUGGGCAGCUCCCUGAGCCUCUCAGAGUCUCUGGAACGUGAAGGAGCUGGGCCAGUGAGUUUAUAGUGUCUUCAGGCUGCUAUUUGUGGGCGUGCACCUGUGUUUCAGGCCAUCUUAGAGUGUAAACUGAGCAGACAGGGUCCAGUCCUUUGCCCAGAUUUGCCAGUGACACAGACACUUCAGCUUGGAUGAUGAAACAGCCUUGAUUGCUGAAGCAGGUGAAUUAAUCCCACUGGCGCAGCACCAGCAAGGACCUUUUUUUUUUUUUUUUGGCGGUACGCGGGCCUCUCAGUGUUGUGGCCUCUCCCGUUGCGGAGCACAGGCUCCGGACGCGCAGGCUCAGCGGCCAUGGUUCACGGGCCCAGCCGCUCCGCGGCAUGUGGGAUCCUCCCGGACGGGGGCACGAACCCGUGUCCCCUGCAUCGUCAGGCGGACUACCAACCACUGCGCCACCAGGGAAGCCCGUCAGCAAGGACCUUUUAAAUACCCAAGGACACAGGAUGUGCGU